AUACGUAGGUGGCAAGCGUUGUCCGGAAUUAUUGGGCGUAAAGCGCGCGCAGGUGGUUCCUUAAGUCUGAUGUGAAAGCCCCAGGCUCAACCGGGGAGGGUCAUUGGAAACUGGGGAACUUGAGUGCAGAAGAGGAUAGUGGAAUUCCAAGUGUAGCGGUGAAAUGCGUAGAGAUUUGGAGGAACACCAGUGGCGAAGGCGACUGUCAGGUCUGCAACUGACACUGAGGCGCGAAAGAGUGGGGAGAAGACAGUCUUAGAUACCCUGGUAGCCCACGCCGUAAACGAGGAGUGCUAAGUGUUGGGGGGUUUCCGCCCCUCAGUGCUGCAGCUAAAGCAUUAAGCACUCCGCCUGGGGAGUACGGUCGCAAGACUGAAACUCAAAUGAAUUGCCGGGG
rnacentral:rRNA from 1 species